rnacentral:rRNA from 1 species
AUGGCACGCUCCAUGUCCGCCACUCACACCUUUCUCCUCGCCGUCCUCCUCCUUCUCCUGGCCACCGCCACCAGCUCCAUCGCCUCCGGCUCACCCACCUCUGCUGCCUCCCUGGAAGCCGCCGCCCUCCUCAACCUCUCCGUGGCACUCGCUGACCCCUCGGGCUACCUUUCCGCGCACUGGACGCCGGCCACGCCGCUCUGCUCGUGGCCGCGCCUCUCCUGCGACGCCGCCGGCUCCCGCGUCAUCUCCCUCGACCUCUCCGCCCUCAACCUCACCGGCCCCAUCCCCGCCGCCGCCCUCUCCUCCGUCCCGCACCUCCGGUCCCUCAACCUCUCCAAUAACCUCUUCAAUUCCACCUUCCCGGACGGCCUCAUCGCCAGCCUCACCGACAUCCGCGUUCUCGACCUGUACAAUAACAACCUCACCGGCCCGCUCCCUGCCGCGCUCCCCAAUCUCACGAACCUUGUCCACCUCCACCUCGGCGGCAAUUUCUUCUCCGGCAGCAUUCCCACGUCGUACGGCCAAUGGAGCCGCAUCCGGUACCUGGCCCUCUCCGGCAAUGAGCUCACCGGGGAGAUACCGCCCGAGCUCGGCAACCUGUCGACGCUGAGGGAGCUGUACCUCGGGUACUUCAACAGCUUCACCGGCGGGAUACCGCCUGAGCUCGGCAGGCUGCGGCAGCUCGUGCGGCUCGACAUGGCGAGCUGCGGUAUCUCCGGCAAGAUCCCGCCGGAGUUGGCGAACCUGACGACGCUGGACACUCUCUUUCUACAGAUUAACGCCCUCUCCGGGCGGCUGCCGUCGGAGAUAGGCGUGAUGGGCGCGCUGAAGUCGCUCGACUUGUCCAACAACCUGUUCGCCGGGGAGAUCCCAGCGAGCUUCGCGUCGCUCAAGAACAUGACGCUGCUGAACCUCUUUCGGAACCGCCUCGCCGGCGAGAUUCCCGAAUUUAUCGGUGACCUGCCGAACCUCGAGGUGCUGCAGUUGUGGGAGAACAACUUCACCGGCGGAGUGCCGGCGCAGCUUGGUGUUGCGGCAACCAGGCUGAGGAUUGUCGACGUGAGCACAAAUAAGCUCACCGGCGUUCUGCCGACCGAGCUAUGCGCCGGCGGUCGGCUGGAGACGUUCAUCGCGCUUGGAAAUUCGUUGUUUGGCGGCAUUCCGGACGGGCUCGCCGGGUGCCCGUCAUUGACGAGGAUUCGACUGGGAGAGAAUUAUCUCAAUGGGACGAUCCCGGCCAAGCUGUUCACGUUGCAGAACCUGACACAGGUAGAGCUGCAUAACAAUCUGCUGUCCGGCGAGGUCCGGCUGGACGCCGACGAGGUGUCGCCGUCGAUAGGGGAGCUGAGCCUGUAUAACAACGGAUUAUCUGGCCCGGUGCCGGCGGGGAUCGGUGGGCUCGUGGGCCUGCAGAAGCUUCUGUUGGCCGACAACAAGUUGUCCGGCGAGCUCCCGCCGGCCAUUGGGAAGUUGCAACAGCUUUCAAAGGUGGACAUGUCUGGCAACCUGAUAUCCGGGGAGCUGCCGCCGGCGAUCGCGGGUUGCAGGCUGCUCACCUUCCUCGACCUAUCCGGCAACAGGCUCUCCGGCCGCAUCCCGGCCGCGCUCGCCAGCCUACGGAUCCUCAACUACCUCAACCUAUCCAGCAACGCGCUCGACGGGGAGAUCCCGCCUUCCAUCGCCGGAAUGCAGAGCCUAACAGCCGUUGAUUUCUCGUACAACUGCCUGUCCGGCGAGGUCCCAGCCACCGGGCAGUUCGCCUACUUCAACUCCACCUCCUUCGCCGGCAACCCUGGUCUCUGCGGGGCCUUCCUGUCUCCGUGUGGCGGUCACGGCGUGGCCACGUCCACCUUCGGGUCCCUCUCGUCGACCACGAAGCUUCUCCUCGUGCUCGGCCUCCUGGCGCUGUCCAUCAUCUUCGCCGUGGCGGCCGUGCUGAAGGCGCGGUCUCUGAAGCGGUCGGCGGAGGCGCGUGCGUGGCGGAUCACGGCGUUCCAGCGCUUGGACUUCGCUGUGGACGACGUGCUCGACUGCCUCAAGGACGAGAACGUGAUCGGCAAGGGCGGGUCCGGGAUCGUGUACAAGGGCGCGAUGCCGGGCGGCGCGGUUGUGGCAGUGAAGCGGCUGUCCGCCAUCGGGCGCUCCGGGUCAGCUCACGACGACUAUGGCUUCUCCGCCGAGAUACAGACGCUGGGGCGGAUCCGGCACCGCCACAUCGUGCGGCUGCUCGGGUUCGCGGCCAACCGCGAGACGAACCUCCUGGUGUAUGAGUACAUGCCCAACGGCAGCCUCGGCGAGGUGCUCCACGGCAAGAAGGGUGGCCACCUGCAGUGGGCGACGCGGUACAAGAUCGCCGUGGAGGCGGCCAAGGGCCUCUGCUACCUGCACCACGACUGCUCGCCGCCGAUACUGCACCGCGACGUCAAGUCCAACAACAUCCUCCUCGACACCGACUUCGAGGCGCACGUCGCCGACUUCGGCCUCGCCAAGUUCCUCAACGGCAACGCCGGUGGCUCCGAGUGCAUGUCCGCGAUCGCCGGUUCCUAUGGAUACAUCGCUCCCGAGUACGCCUACACUCUCAAGGUGGACGAGAAGAGCGACGUGUACAGCUUCGGUGUGGUGCUGCUGGAGCUCGUGACCGGACGCAAGCCGGUGGGUGAGUUCGGCGACGGCGUGGACAUCGUGCAGUGGGUGCGGAUGGCCACCGGAUCGACCAAGGAAGGCGUGAUGAAGAUCGCCGACCCGCGCCUCUCGACGGUGCCCGUCCAGGAGCUGACGCACGUCUUCUACGUCGCCAUGCUCUGCGUCGCGGAGCAAAGCGUCGAGCGGCCCACGAUGCGGGAGGUGGUGCAGAUCCUGGCCGACAUGCCAGGGGCGACGUCGAUGACCGCCGGCACGACACGGUCGGAGGCCACCGUCGAAGGAGAGGAGGAGGAGCAUCAGGACGGGCCACAGGAGUCCCCGGCGCAGCAGGAUCUCCUCAGCAUUUAG